UCCCUGGUGGUCCAGUGGCUAAGACUCUGUGCUCCCAAUGCAGGGGGCCUGAGUUCGAUCCCGGGUCAGGGAA
rnacentral:tRNA from 1 species